AAAAUUUAACGCUUUUGAAGAAAUGGUUUGUUCUAAUUUAGAUACAUGCAUAGAGAAAAUGGAAUCAAUAAUUAAAAUGUGGAGGAUCAGAAACCUUUCCUUGAUCGGUAAAAUCGUAAUUCUCGAAUCACUUGCAAUAUCGAAGCUUAUUUAUGUCAUUUCAUCUACACAUGUACCAAGAGCUUAUGUAAUUAAAAUACAACGUGACAUUAAUAGUUUU
rnacentral:lncRNA from 1 species